UACGUAGGGUCCAAGCGUUGUCCGGAUUUAUUGGGCGUAAAGAGCUCGUAGGUGGUUCGGUAAGUCGGAUGUGAAAUCUCCAGGCUCAACCUGGAGGGGUCAUUCGAUACUGCCGUGACUAGAGUUCGGUAGGGGAGCGUGGAAUUCCUGGUGUAGCGGUGAAAUGCGCAGAUAUCAGGAGGAACACCGAUGGCGAAGGCAGGUCUCUGGGCAUUAACUGACGCUGAGGAGCGAAAGCAUGGGGAGCGAACAGG
rnacentral:rRNA from 1 species